rnacentral:rRNA from 1 species
GAUGAACGCUGGCGGCGUGCCUAAUACAUGCAAGUCGAGCGAACGGACGAGAAGCUUGCUUUUCUGAUGUUAGCGGCGGACGGGUGAGUAACACGUGGAUAACCUACCUAUAAGACUGGGAUAACUUCGGGAAACCGGAGCUAAUACCGGAUAAUAUUUUGAACCGCAUGGUUCAAAAGUGAAAGACGGUCUUGCUGUCACUUAUAGAUGGAUCCGCGCUGCAUUAGCUAGUUGGUAAGGUAACGGCUUACCAAGGCAACGAUGCAUAGCCGACCUGAGAGGGUGAUCGGCCACACUGGAACGGAGAAACGGUCCAGACUCCUACGGGAGGCAGCAGUAGGGAAUCUUCCGCAAUGGGCGAAAGCCUGACGGAGCAACGCCGCGUGAGUGAUGAAGGUCUUCGGAUCGUAAAACUCUGUUAUUAGGGAAGAACAUAUGUGUAAGUAACUGUGCACAUCUUGACGGUACCUAAUCAGAAAGCCACGGCUAACUACGUG